rnacentral:misc_RNA from 1 species
CUUUCAAACCCCAAACCCACUCCACCUUCACUACUACUUCCCCCAAAUCCUCACCCCAUCGGCCAUGAAUCCCAAUUCAAUUCCUCCCCCACGACCCCUCCUUCCUCCAUGUUCUCGCCGGUCCACCGGGUCAUGCUAGCCGCCACUUCGUGGCUCCGCACGCGCUGGAGCCGCUUUCUCUUUCUCCUCCUCUGUUCUCCUAUUCUUCUCCCUUUUAUCUGCGCUUGCUUUCCUCUUCUAUGUGCUGUUGAGCUCUGCAUCCACACUUGCCGCCUCUGCCGGGGGAAAAAGGAGGUGGACGAUGAGGAACGUCUGCGGCGAUGUGAAGAGGGAUUCUGCGAUUGCGAUCGGAUGGCGGAUGAGGAAAAGGAAGUUGGACUUUUGCAGAGGUAUUUGGAAGAUCAGUUAAGGCUUGUUGGAUCUGUGUAUGAGUGUGGUGAUGAAUUUGAUAGUCAAGAAGAGGAAGAAACUCCUCUUUUGGGUUAAUUGCUACUGAUUUUUAAUUUCUUUGACUUAAUUUUUUUGGGUUUUUGAUUCUGUGUAAAUGUAAAUGAUUGAGGGUUUUUGUUCAUCUAGAAUUUGUAUUGGAAUUUGAAUUUCUGGGUUUUGUUUUUUUCUCAGUGUAAUUAGAAUCUGAUUGAAUUUUUGGGGUUUGAUAGUCUCAAUCUGACGAUGUUUGAUCUGGAAAUGUGAUUUGUUCUUGUUCUGAUUCUGUUUACAUGGGGAAACUUUGAG